CAGCAGCCACGGUAAUACAGAGGCCUCAAGCGUUGUUCGGAUUCAUUGGGCGUAAAGGGAGCGUAGGCGGUCGGGUAAGUCGGAUGUGAAAUCCUGGGGUUCAACCUCAGAACUGCAUUCGAUACUGCUUGGCUAGAGGACUGGAGAGGAGAUUGGAAUUCACGGUGUAGCAGUGAAAUGCGUAGAUAUCGUGAGGAAGACCAGUGGCGAAGGCGGAUCUCUGGACAGUAUCUGACGCUGAGGCUCGAAGGCCAGGGGAGCAAACGGGAUUAGAUACCCCCGUAGUCCCUGUCUCUUAUAC
rnacentral:rRNA from 1 species